CCAGAGAACUUAGCAGAGAUGCUUUGGUGCCUUCGGGAACUCUGAGACAGGUGCUGCAUGGCUGUCGUCAGCUCGUGUUGUGAAAUGUUGGGUUAAGUCCCGCAACGAGCGCAACCCUUAUCCUUUGUUGCCAGCGGCUCGGCCGGGAACUCAAAGGAGACUGCCGGUGAUAAACCGGAGGAAGGUGGGGAUGACGUCAAGUCAUCAUGGCCCUUACGGCCAGGGCUACACACGUGCUACAAUGGCGCAUACAAAGAGGAGCGACCUCGCGAGAGCAAGCGGACCUCAUAAGGUGCGUCGUAGUCCGGAUUGGAGUCUGCAACUCGACUCCAUGAAGUCGGAAUCGCUAGUAAUCGUAGAUCAGAAUGCUACGGUGAAUACGUUCCCGGGCCUUGUACACACCGCCCGUCACACCAUGGGAGUGGGUUGCAAAAGAAGUAGGUAGCUUAACCUUCGGGAGGGCGCUUACCACUUUGUGAUUCAUGACUGGGGUGAAGUCGUAACAAGGUAAGCGUAGCGAG
rnacentral:rRNA from 1 species